UACCAGCACCCCGAGUGGUCGGGACGAUUAUUGGGCCUAAAGCAUCCGUAGCCGGUUCUACAAGUCUUCCGUUAAAUCCACCUGCUUAACAGAUGGGCUGCGGAGGAUACUAUAGAGCUAGGAGGCGGGAGAGGCAAGCGGUACUCGAUGGGUAGGGGUAAAAUCCGUUGAUCCAUUGAAGACCACCAGUGGCGAAGACGGCUUGCCAGAACGCGCUCGACGGUGAGGGAUGAAAGCUGGGGGAGCAAACCGG
rnacentral:rRNA from 1 species